UUGGCCCGCAGGGCGAGUAUCAGGAUGAUACGAGUAAAAUCUGCGUUCAGGUUCGAGCCGAGCGAAGCGAGACAGCAACGCGUCAGCGUUGACCCGAAGGGCGAGGCCAGAGGCCGAGUCAUCCCGCACGACCCACCA
rnacentral:sRNA from 1 species